GGGAUUCUCUCUCUCCCUCUUUCUCUGCCUCUCUCUGGCUUGCACACAUGCUCUCUCUCAAAAUAAAUAAAUGAACUUUAAUUUAAAGGAAAGAGAGGUUUCAUAGUGCCUUGAGAGAAAGUUACAUGUACGUCAUGAAUUUCAGAUGAUUCUAUAUUAGUUGUCAACCGUGAUACUAUAUAUAAGCUGCUACAUAAAAUGAAAGAAUUAGUACAUAGGAAGAGUAUUUAUUAUUUCUAAUCCUCAUGACUUUCACAUUCCUGAAAAUGGAAUACAAGGAGACCACAAUCAAACAUUUCUGUAAGUACCCAAACGCAUCACUAAUGUAUUUAAGUUUUGAACUAGACCUUUGAACUAGGCAGAAAGUCAGCAUCAAUCCUAUCCCAUGCUUUAAAAAACCAAUGAUAUUUGUCAUACCCACUAGAUAAGUAUUGGAAUAAACCCAUUCUCGCCUCAUUCUGGUAUAUUUAUUUUUGUACAGCUAAAAGGAAUGUUAAAUAUUCUGUUAAGACUGUAAGUGCCAAAAGUAGUUAUUAUUCUGAAGUGAAAAAAAAAAAAGUAUCAAUCAAUAGUUCUUAUAUAGCAGUAAGAACACUCCUGACUGAUAUUUGGCAGUUGUUAUCCGGAAUCCUCUAACAACGGAUUCUAGGACUUGCCACGCUGGAUACUUUCAACUUACGUUACACAUAACAUGCCUUUAACAUACAGGCACGCAUUCUUCACACAGCUGAAGGAGACUGAGGAUUACACAUUGACUUGAGAUUCCAGAAGAUUAAGGAAUGUGAUACAAUCAUACUGGGAGAGAUACUGCAGCAAAGUUCGUAAUAUCUUCAAAUCCUGAACCAAGGACUUAGUCUUGGCUCCAAGCUGGUGCCACAAGGGAUCCAGAUAAUGGCGGAUCGUCUAAAACAAGAACACAGUUUAGUAUGCUAAAAAUAUAUUCGAUAUAGCUAUUA